rnacentral:rRNA from 1 species
CAUAACGACUCUCGGCAACGGAUAUCUCGGCUCUCGCAUCGAUGAAGAACGUAGCGAACUGCGAUACUUGGUGUGAAUUGCAGAAUCCCGUGAACCAUCGAGUCUUUGAACGCAAGUUGCGCCCGAAAUCCUUUGGACGAGGGCACGUUUGCCUGGGUGUCA